UGGGAAGGCUCGCCGCCGCCGGGUGGUGGAGCAGGCCUUUGGCGGGGCUGGGGUGGAGGCAAGUCCUGGCGGCUUCCCACAGCCCAGCGCCCACAGCCAAAGGCCAGGCUCAAAGACAAGCCCCUCUUCAGACACCGGAAGAGACUCAGGGCGGCUGUGAAUGACUGGAGACGGUGGUCACCCUCACCCACUGAAGGAAGCACCCUGGCAGAGGCCUGGGUGUUGUGAGCUUGCAAAUGGCCUUUGGGCUGCUAAGGAAGGAUUUGGUUGUUUUUUUUUCAUGAGGGGAAACCGCCUCCUGCUCUGUACCAUCUCGAGCCAAAAUAACAUGUUUUGGCAACCAUGAUUUGGCAAUUAGGGCCUCAGCUCACUGAAAGCAUUCUUCCAUGCAAAAUAUGCCUUGGAAAGAAAACACUCAACCACAUCUGAGUGAAAAUAUAGGAAGUGAACAAAGCGGUGACUGAGCAGGGAGAGGCAGCAGGGGCAGGCAGGAGCGCUUCGGAGGAGGGCGAGUUUGGCAAUUAGACCUUUCCAUUGCCCUGACUCCAACUCUAGCCCCGUCUAGAGAAAGACUGAAGACUUAGCAUAACAGCGUGCUGUGUGUUGGGCUCCAUUCCCUGGCCCUCAAAAGAACCUUCCAGCAGCAUCUAAGGGGAAGCAAAAGAGCGCGCCAGAGCCAAGACCCAAGACCGUGAAAGCAGGGAGGUUGCUCUUCCCACCAUCGCAUGGAAACCGCAUCCUUUGAUAAAGAGAACAGUCAAGCAGGUUAAUUAUCAUCGAUAAGUUGCCUGUUGCCCCUUUAACCGGAUCAAACGUUGAAUGACCGCAGAAGCCGGCUCACACAAGCCUGGCAGGAAGUUCCUGUUAGUCUGCAGAGGGUCUGGCCGGUUCUCCAUGCCUCCCCUUCCUCUCUUUCAAGGGCCGCGAUCUGAAGGACACAACUUUGACUGAUGGCACUCACAUCUGGCAUCACAACAUCUGGAACUCCAACUCUAGGUGACACAUUACCUGAUUCUGGCCCCUGUAGAUGCUUGCAUGCUUGUGUGAACACACACAGACACAUAAAUAAAAUAGUAAAUCUUUUUUUUUAAAGCUAAGGAAGUAAAUAAAGGAUGAAUGUGUAUCCAGGGGCUGGUAUGAUUGCUCAGUGGGCAGAGCACUUGCUCUGAAAGCGUAAAGUCCUGAGUUUGAUUACCCUGCACCCAUGUAAAAGGGCAGGGAAGGCUGUGGGUGCCCAUAAGCCCAGCAUUGUGCAGUGGAGACACACAGAUCCAGCCAGCCUAGCCUAAACAGGGAGCUUGUUGUUAAAAAAGACCUUGUCUUGAAGUAAAAAGGCAGGAAGUGCUGGAGGAAGACACCCGAAGUCUUGCUCUGGAGUUGGAGCCUGCAUCUUGGCACACUCAAGUGCAUGCACCCCACAGGUACACCAAAAUAAAAUGAGAGACACAGUGAGGGAUGGUGGUGGGGAAGCGGGCAGUCUCCGUCACCUUGUAAAACUGUCUGAAAUGCAAGCAAGCAAGAUCCUAGCAAAGGAGCAACAUUAUGCAGAAAAGUGCAUUCCAGAACAGCGAUAGAACCUAACUCCCAAGACCGGACCUGAAGUUGCCACUGGAAGAGCUCCUGGGAUGAGACAGGCAUGCGUACAGAUCUGACUGGGACAACUCUGCAGUGGGAGAACCAAGCUUCCCUGACCUUGGCUGAAUCAUUUAACCUCUGUGGUUGAGUGUCUGAAUUUAUAAGAAUAGUAAUUCCAAUUCUGCCAUCCUACCCGGAGACACGGGGAUGACCAGUGAGCUGCCACGAGCCGUUUCUGGAACCUUGGGUCCAGCUUCAUCACAAUGUUAUUUAUUUGAUUAAUGGGCAAGAUUAUUAUUUAUUCAACUAGAAUUCCUAUCUCUUCAAACCCUCAGCUGCACACCAGACAGUGGUUGCAUUCUAGGCCAUGGGUGCACCAGUGUGCUGCUGUAGCACUUUAUAGUCUAUACGCAGAAAAUAAACUUCUUUAAUAGUGAGCCCCUUUGUGUCUCUGUGCUCCCGCCCAAGCAAGGCAGGAGGAGCAGGCAGCUUCUGGCUCCAGAAAGCAAAGGCUUGUCUGAGUCUCUAUGUGGGGACAGCAGCAUUUUAAUUCUCUACAGAGAAUUAGAGCGUUGUCUCCUUUAUUUCCUGUUGACUCAGCGAUCUUCUUCCCACAUUUGGGGGUUUGUGGGAAAUGAGGAAUUUGUAUUUGGCCUACUGGAAACAAGGGCUGGGAAUAAGCUACCAUCAUGCAGACCCUAUGGGUUUUUGUUUUUCCUUUUAAAUAAUCUGAAACUCUUCUCAGAGACUCAUUAAUAUUAAUAAAUAUUAUAUUUUAUUUGCUAAAAGCAGAAACUUGGUGAUAAAAAAAAUUGACUAAAUACUGUAUAAAACACAGUUUGAAGAUUCUCAACUUCCUUAAAAUUAUUUCAAAAACAAACCAGCCCUUGUAAAUGACAUACAAAGCCUCAUUUUGUUCCAACCACUCCCCCCCUUCUCAUUCUCUCGCUCUCUCACUUCAAAGGCCCUCUAUCAGGGAGAAAUUCUCAAAUUAGUAAUGAUUAAGAAUAUAAAUUCUUUAUGCAUAUUCAAGCAUAUACUGCAAAAGGACUUGCUAUAAAUUUGGUCCAAUUUAUUUAAAGUUCUUGAAAGAUUUACAAACACUUUACAUGUUUCCUAUUUUCUAUUUCUCUAUUACUUAAGAAAUUCAGAAAAAAAUCCUUAAACCCACAUAAAUGUUCACAAUUACCUUUAUUUUGUUUCAUUUUGAAACAAGGUAUGACUAUGUUGUUCAGACUAGUUUCAAAUUUGCUAUCCUCUUGCCUAAACCUCCCAAUGCCUGAUGUUACAGAUGUGUGCCAUGGUGCUGGAUAUGAGUUUUACUUUAAAUUUCUAAAAUUGAAAGAAUUAACCAUUUUUAAUCAUGUACCAUUGUGUGUAUAUAUAAAAUUUUAUGCACAUAAAUAAGUUUGUAUAUAUUUAUGAUUUUAACCACUUCAAAGAAUACAAUUCAGAACUGUGUGGUCAUUGGCAUGACUUUCUCCAGAAAUGCCAUGUUAUUUAAACACUCAAUUUAAAAUUCUACCCAAAAGAAUUGUCCUAAUCCCCAGGAUAAAACUAGGAGUUACUGGAUUCCAUUAAAGGUGGCUUGGGGAUAAUCAUUUGGGGUCAGGUCUGGUCUGGGUGCUUGGAAUUUGGCCUCUGUGGUUAAACAGAAAGGGGGGAGGAGACACAUUCACACACACAACAAAGCCUUCAUCCAGAAGGCAGACAGGAUGCUUAUGUCUGAAGUACACAGCCAAAGAUAAGGGAGUAAAUGAUGAAGUCAGUGGCUAAAAUCCACAAGGAGACAGAGGACAGACAUAUGGUACCUCAGGGAACUCUGUAGGUGGAUUCUUGGUGGCAAGCAUCCAGGAGUUUUUCUCAUGUGUAUUCCACAGGCAACAUUUUCUUAUCUAGUUUCUCUUUACUGUUUUGCCCCUGUGUACUCUGGGAAGGAACAAACUCCCAGACAUAGUAAUUCUGUAGUCUAUCACAUACAACAUGUUUUGAAAUUUGGUGGAAGAAAGAAAUGCAGUCUGUGAGUGUCCCCUGUAACUUGUUUGGUUGUCCAUUUGCUUUUGUUAAUAUGGGCUGGAGUUCCAUGUUUGGUGUUGUUUGGUAAUUGGAAAAGGAGGGAAGAGGUUUGUUGAGGCAUUAGCCAGAUGGAGUUCAAAGGGAAUGCUGUAUGAAGCCCUUUCCUUGAAAAACAGUGACCAGAAGUCUAUAGAUUUGUGAAAUCAAAGGCUUAGGAGUCCAUAGUAAGAUGUGGCCCAGAAUCAGAAGACAGUUCUUCUCUCAGCUUUUGGUAGAAUUUUCUAUUCCACCAGCCAGCUCCCAAAUAACCACACAGAGACUUAUUAUUAAUUAUAAAUGAUCAGUUGGUAGCUUCGGCUUGUUACUAACUAGCUCUUACAAGUUAAAUUAACCCAUAUUUCUUACCUAUGUCUACCACCUGGCUUAGUCCUUUCCUUUAACAUGGCAUGUUUAUCUUGCUUCUCCCUGCACCUUCUGGUGACUCCACCCUUCUUCAUUCCAGAGAGCUCUCUCUCUGUCCGCCAGUCUCACUGACCCUCCUUCUGCCUAGCUGUUGGCCGUUUAGCUCUUUAUUAAACUAAUCAGAGCAACACAUCUUUACAGAGUACAAAAAGAUUGUUCCAACACACUCAGCAUCUGAACAAAGGGUGGCAGGGUCCUGAUGUUGCAAAGAUGAGACAUUUCCCGGCUGUGCUGGUUAGUUUCCUGAUUGUUUUGUUUUGUCAACAUGGCAUAAGCCAUAGUUGUCUGGGAAGGAGAACCACAACUGAGAAAUGCCUCCAUCAGAUUGCCUGUAUUCCAGUCUACGGAGCAUUUUCUUCAUUAACCUGGGACGGUCCGGCCCACAUUGGAUGAUGCCAGCUCCGGGCAGGUGGUCUUAGGUUCUACAAGAAAGCAAGUUAAGCAAGUCAUGGAGAACAAACCAGGAAGCAGCAUUCCUCUGUGGACUGUGCUUCGGUUCCUGCCUCCAGGUUCCUGCCUUAGCAUCCCUCCAUGAUAGACUGUAACCUGUAAAGCAAAUAAACCCUUUCCUUCUCAGAGCUGCAUUUGGUCAGUGUUUAAUCACAGCAACCGACAAGCUAACCUAAGCCGUGGCUUUUGUUCCAGGUGGUGCUAGUGAUCACAUCAUGAACAGGGACAGCCAAUAUUCUUCAAGUGGUUUCAGUAGGUGUGACAGUUUGGAGACAAAGC